rnacentral:rRNA from 1 species
AGAGUUUGAUCCUGGCUCAGGAUGAACGCUGGCGGCGUGCCUAACACAUGCAAGUCGAACGGAGUUAUGGAAGGAAGUUUUCGGAUGGAAUCCCAUAACUUAGUGGCGGACGGGUGAGUAACGCGUGGGAAACCUGCCCUGUACCGCGG